rnacentral:lncRNA from 1 species
GAAGAAGAGGAGGAGAAGGAGGAGGAGGAGAGGAAGAGUGAAGAGGAGGAGGAGCAGGAGCAGGAGGCCGCUGGCCUGCAGGGAGGACGGAGGGACUGUGGGCACACUAGAGCACACCGAGGGCGAACAGUCCUACAGUGGGCAGAAGGGACCCAGCUCAGACUUGCCCAGCUCACAGCUGCCCAAAGGUACGUGGAAUUGAGAAGAGUGUGACCUAAAUUUGCGUCUCUCGCCUGGAUGUCAUGUACCCAUCAAAGUAACGGAAAUGACUGUGGAAUGCACAGAACCCUGGGAAUUAUAUUUCCCACCAAAUCUCCCUGUCAAUCUACCCAUUUCCAAUAACAAAGUCAAAAAAAGGACGUACACUUCCUUUUCUCUUCCCUUCUUCUCCCUUCUUUCUUUCCUUUCCUCUCUUCCUUGAGUCUGUUAGGGCCAGCCGGGAGGCAAAGGGUUAGGGUUAGGAGGCCCUGAGGCUAAGGACAAUGUCCUGAGCUGGCGUCUUUCUGGAAGGCUGGAAAUGCAGGAGGAAGUCCAUCUAAGGAGUGCUCCCAGAUCCUUCCCUCUUCCAGGGGAAGACCUGUGGGGCUGCUGCAGCCAGGUCCCCCCAGGGGUGCAGGAGGCCGGUGCUCACAUGGCCUGUGCCCCCCGCCACUGGAGCACGCACCUGUUCCCUGGGUCUGCACGGAGCAGACACUUGCAGUCCAGGACACUGCCCUGCUGUCCACUGAGCUGCAGACACUUCUGUUGCUCUUGCUCUGUAAGCCCUAACAGUGUGGCGUCCUCUGGCUGGGCCACCUUAGCCUUUUGUCCUGUAGGAAAGCUGAUUCCCUGAGCUGCACAGGGCUGUCCCCUGACCCAGAGGAAUCUGAAUGUGUCCCUCAGUGGGAGAGGACACCCCACUUCUAGCCUUGCUUCUCCACACGAGGGUCCACACUUCCCGAGGAGACCUUCCUUCAAGUUCCGUUACCUCAGGCAGGCCUGACCCUUGUCAGGGGAGCUGACCAAAUCCCAGGACUCAUGUUCCCAAUUUUGAAGCAGAGGACUUGAAACAAAAGUUUAGUUCUCUCUUUGAACAAAGAGCCAGUGAAUGUCUGGAAACACAGAGUGUAGGAAGACCAGCAGAAGUACUCAGGGCAUAAGUUAAGUAACCAGCCAGAUCGAAGGGAGGUAGUGACCUGGAAGACAGAGCCAGAAAGCCACCAAGGCCACAGAAGACAA